rnacentral:rRNA from 1 species
GCCUACAUGAAGUCGGAAUCGCUAGUAAUCGCGGAUCAGCAUGCCGCGGUGAAUACGUUCCCGGGCCUUGUACACACCGCCCGUCACACCAUGAGAGUUUGUAACACCCAAAGCCGGUGGGGUAACCUUUUGGAGCCAGCCGUCUAAGGUGGGACAGAUGAGUUGGGGUGAAGUCGUAACAAGGUAGC